AUUGAACGCUGGCGGCAUGCUUUACACAUGCAAGUCGAACGGUAACAGGGAGCUUGCUCCGCUGACGAGUGGCGAACGGGUGAGUAAUGCAUCGGAACGUACCCAGUCGUGGGGGAUAACGUAGCGAAAGUUACGCUAAUACCGCAUACGUCCUGAGGGAGAAAGCGGGGGACCGUAAGGCCUCGCGCGAUUGGAGCGGCCGAUGUCGGAUUAGCUAGUUGGUAGGGUAAAGGCCUACCAAGGCGACGAUCCGUAGCGGGUCUGAGAGGAUGAUCCGCCACACUGGGACUGAGACACGGCCCAGACUCCUACGGGAGGCAGCAGUGGGGAAUUUUGGACAAUGGGCGAAAGCCCGAUCCAGCCAUGCCGCGUGAGUGAAGAAGGCC
rnacentral:rRNA from 1 species